ensembl:lncRNA MAP4K3-DT MAP4K3 divergent transcript
AGGCCGGGGCCGGCGGCGGAACAGCUUGGGACCCGAAACGCCUCGGCUUUUCUGCGGACCCGCGCCCGGCCGCUGCCGCCGGACGCUUGAAAAGAGGCAGAGUCUUGCUUUGUUGUCCAGGCUGGUCUUGAACUUCUGAGCUCAAGUGAUCCUCCCGCCUUGGCCUCCCAAAGUGCUGAGACUACAGAGAGAGAAUGCUAACGAGCUGUGAAAUGACCAAAGAUCUGGCAGCAGAAGGGAAAAGAAAAAAUAAUGGGAAGAAGAGGAUUUAUCUGACUCAACUGGAGAUGGCUCCCUUCCCUUAUUUAUUGUUGCAUCCUGAAGCUUCCCCCAUGCUGGGCUCAGUGUGAACAAACAGCGCGGGAGAAUGCAACCACUGCAGAGAGUGGUUGAUCAUACUGUAAAACUCAAAUGUGAAGGGAAGGCUGGAACCUACUGGAAACUGAAGAUCUAACGAAAAGAAGGAACUUUUAGGAACUAGCAGAGACUUCAAAAUGUUGAGAACUCUCUUUUUUCAUAAGAGAAGAUAAAAACUCUGAUGGUCACACUCAUAAAGACAAAAAACAAAUAAAAAACAAACAAAAACUCAGAAUCACAAGAGCAAAGAAAAUGUAGGUAAAACAAUAACAGAAGAGGUAAAGAAAUUUAUGUGAAUUGGGACACUCUGGGGCACAGAACAGAAGAGGAGAAGAAACAUGAAAGUAAUGCUCUGCACAAGGAUGUCUGACUGUCCUUGAUUCCAAGGGCAUUUAAAAUUAGCCACUGGAUGAGAACCAUGAAAUGCCAUGACUCUUACAGCUCCCAUGAAAGACAUUGGAUGGAACUUAUCCUAACUGGACCAAAUUCUAAAAAAUUUUACAUGAUAUUAUAAUGAGUUGAAAGUUGAAAAAAAAAAGCUCUUCUAGAUUACCAAGAAUAAAACACAAAUUUCUAGCUGACUGAAUUAAUUCUCAUCUCUCUAUAGAAAGAUCAUAGAAAUUUUUUUUAUCAUGCAAAGAAAUAGCUAAAAAUUUACAAAAAUAUAGACGUGCAUUAGGCAGCUCAUGAAUAAAUGCGUUUUUUCCUUUUUUCCUCCAGAAUUUUGUGAUGUUUAUGGUACUUUUCGGCUUUUAAAAUUUUGUAUUUAAUCAGGAUUUAUUACUUCAUUGUAAGUAAAUAUUAAAUUUGUACUCCAUCUUUGUUUGUAAUUUUGUAUAUUUUUCAGUAAAAAGGACUCCCCAGAUUAUGUAAGCUUUAGGCCCCACAAAAUCUAGGCCUGUUGCUGUAUCCUUUCUAGAGCAGUGUUUCUCAAACUUCAAUGUGCAUUUGAAUCUCCUGGGGCUCCUGUUAAAAUAUAGCUUCUGAGAUGAUGCAUUUCUAACAGACUCCCAGGGCUGACACUGCCCAUCUGGGGACCACACUUUGAGAAUCAAAUAUCUAGAACAAUGGUUCUUACCUGGCUGUGCAUUGGGAUCAUUUAUAGUGCUUUUGGAAAAUACAUUGUGUCCAGGUCCCACCCAGUUCUCAGUAGGCUUGGAAUGGGGUCCUACACUUUUUUUUUUUAACUCCACAGUUUGGGAAAGAAGCCUUUUCAUAUAUUGUUGGUGGGAAUACAAAUUGAUACAGCCAUUUUUGAGCUUGAUUUGGCAAUAUCUUCCUUGGAGAAAUCAAAAGCCAGUUGGCAAGCCAGUCUGGAAAAGGCAGUUUACUGAUUCCCACCCGAGGGUCACAAAGCAGGUAUAGAAGGAUGGGCUUUGGCUGAAAUAUAUGAUGGGUACAGGUAUAUUCUCUAUAAUCCAGUAUUUCCACUGCUGAAAACGUAUCCUAGUAACAUUAUACAUAUCAAGCCUACAUAUAAAGUUGGUCAAUUCCAUAUUAUUUGUAGUAGGGGAAAACUGAAAGCAGUCUACAUGCCCAUCAAUAGAUUAUUCAAAUUAUGGAACAGUUUUCCAAUGACAAAACAAUAGCUAAUCUUAGUUAAGCAAUUAUUAUGUUAUGUAAGGUAGACAUUGUUCUACCUUAUUUAUAAGUAUUAAGUUAGUUUUUAUAACUAUCAUAUUUCCAUUUUACAAAUGACAUAAUUUAUAUUAUUGACAUGGGAAGAUGUCCAAGGAUAUAAUAAGCAAAAAGCAAGUAGCAAAACAUUAUGUAUAUUAUGCAUUACCAUUAUAAUAUACUAAAAAGUAAUGCACUUGAUUCUGAUGCACACUCCCCAGUAGGUAACAACUUAUCUAGUGUAAAAAUGAAAGAACAUUCUGGGCCGGGCACGGUGGCUCAUGCCUGUAAUCCCAGCACUUUGGGAGGCCCAGGUGGGCGGAUCACAAGGUCAGGAGAUCGAGACCAUCCUGGCUAACAUGGUGAAACCCCGUC